AACGAACGCUGGCGGCGCGCUUAACACAUGCAAGUCGAACGAGAAGGCGUAGCAAUACGCUUGUACAGUGGCGAACGGGUGAGUAAUACGUGGGUGACCUACCCUCGAGUGGGGAAUAACCCGCCGAAAGGCGGGCUAAUGCCGCGUACGCUUCCAUCUUUGCGGAGGUGGAGGGAAAGCAGUGCCGUGGGUACGGCGCUCAAGGAUGGGCUCACGUCCUAUCAGCUUGUUGGUAGGGUAACGGCCUACCAAGGCUCCGACGGGUAGCUGGUCUGAGAGGACGAUCAGCCACACUGGCACUGCGACACGGGCCAGACUCCUACGGGAGGCAGCAGUGAGGAAUAUUGCGCAAUGGGCGAAAGCCUGACGCAGCGACGCCGCGUGGGGGAUGAAGGUCUUCGGAUUGUAAACCCCUUUCGGGAGGGAAGAUGGGACGGGCAACCGUUCGGACGGUACCUCCAGAAGCAGCCACGGCUAACUUCGUGCCAGCAGCCGCAGUAACAC
rnacentral:rRNA from 1 species